AGAGUGGGUGGAGGUGUGCGGAAGAGUUUCCCAUCCUAAUACGUCAAAGUGAUCUAGAUGUAGAGGUUUCGACUACCCCUACAGUACCAUGUCUGCCAUGUGUGCCACUGUGCUUUCUGCUAUGAUGAUAAAAGAAGUUUAUAAACUACACCUCUGAAGCUGUAAGCCAGCCCUGCCAUGGUCAUGGAGUCUCGUCACAGCACUGACUAAGACAAUGCCUUUGGGUCAUUCUCCUGAUUGAUGACUGACAUGGGAUGGCCCACUGUGGACAUGGGAUGCUCACUGCACCCCACUAUCACUCAGGAUGGGAAGAUGAAGGCUGAACUGAAAACAUUUACUGAUGAGCCAAGGAUGCUGAGGGACCUGGGACCAGAAUCAAUGCAGCUGUCACCACCCUGAGGCUUGAAGGACUGGCAGGAUUGUCAGAGUCUGAUAAGAAAUGAGCUAUGUUAGGGGGAACCUCCCACAGGAAGGUGGCUUAUGGGAAUGGAGCAGCAACAUCUGUAGACUGGGGGAGGGUGGAAGGAGCUGGUGGAAUGGGUGCCUUCUUGGCUUUCCUGUCUUUUGAUUUCCUGAUGGCACCUCUGGUUGACCAGCAUGGGCGGUCCAUUUCGGAGACUCUAGGAGUUCUGGUCCAGGGAGGAGCUGAGAAUGGAUGAGGGGUUGAGACCUAGUUAAGGCACACACAGCAUCUAUCUCCUCAUCAGCUUCUUCACUUUAGCUGUGGGAUUUCUCAGGCGAUUGCCCUUCAAUGAAUAGUUCUUUGUCGGCUUUUAGGGGUGACUGUAUGUCAAUUCUAUUUUUAUUUCUAUAUGUAAUUAUUACAUAUAAUAUUAUACAUAUUAUUUUGU